CCAUUUUUAAGGAUGGCCCAUACUGCAGUCGAGCGGAGAUUUGAAAAGCUUGCUUUUCAAAUCUUAGCGGCGGACGGGUGAGUAACACGUGGGCAACCUGCCCUUGAGACGGGGAUAACUCCGGGAAACCGGAGCUAAUACCGGAUAACACAUAUCUUCGCAUGAGGAUAUGUUAGAAGGUGGCUUUUAGCUACCACUCAAGGAUGGGCCCGCGGCGCAUUAGCUAGUUGGUGAGGUAACGGCUCACCAAGGCGACGAUGCGUAGCCGACCUGAGAGGGUGAUCGGCCACACUGGGACUGAGACACGGCCCAGACUCCUACGGGAGGCAGCAGUAGGGAAUCUUCCGCAAUGGACGAAAGUCUGACGGAGCAACGCCGCGUGAGUGAUGAAGGUUUUCGGAUCGUAAAGCUCUGUUGUUAGGGAAGAACAAGUACCUGUUGAAUAAGCAGGUACCUUGACGGUACCUAACCAGAAAGCCACGGCUAACUACGUGCCAGCAGCCGCGGUAAUACGUGGUGGCAAGCGUUGUCCGGAAUUAUUGGGCGUAAAGCGCGCGCAGGCGGUUCCUUAAGUCUGAUGUGAAAGCCCACGGCUCAACCGUGGAGGGUCAUUGGAAACUGGGGAACUUGAGUGCAGAAGAGGAGAGCGGAAUUCCACGUGUAGCGGUGAAAUGCGUAGAGAUGUGGAGGAACACCAGUGGCGAAGGCGGCUCUCUGGUCUGUAACUGACGCUGAGGCGCGAAAGCGUGGGGAGCGAACAGGAUUAGAUACCCUGGUAGUCCACGCCGUAAACGAUGAGUGCUAAGUGUUAGAGGGUUUCCGCCCUUUAGUGCUGCAGCAAACGCAUUAAGCACUCCGCCUGGGGGAGUACGGUCGCAAGACUGAAACUCAAGGAAUUGACGGGACCCGCACAAGCGGUGGAGCAUGUGGUUUAAUUCGAAGCAACGCGAGAACCUUACCAGGUCUUGACAUCCUCUGCUACUUCUAGAGAUAGGAGGU
rnacentral:rRNA from 2 species